UGAAAGUUUUAUUCUAGCUUAAAAGGUUAAUAUUUGAUUAUUAUACAUGUAAGAUUUUGUGAGGAAAACUAAGGGCUUAAAAAGCUUUUGUAGUAUACAUUCGCAGUAUUUAUUUUUAGAUGUUUAAUGGAAGUUAGAUCUAGGAAUUUGUUUUAAUAAUAACAAAGCUUGUGCCAGCAGUUGCGGUUACACAAGCAUUGUAAUUAAGUUGGUUUCUACAGUAGUUAAGUGGAUGAGAUUGUUAUUUACGUCUAGGUUUAUUAAGUGAAAUUUUAAACUUGGUGGGAGUAUUUUUACUGUUCUAUGAAAUUUGGUGAAUAGACUAGGAUUAGAUACCCUAUUAUUCUUAACGUAAAUUAUUUGUAGGAUUAUUAAUAGUUAAGUUCUUGAAAAUUAAAGAUUUUGGCGGUGUUUUAGUCCAUUCAGAGGAACCUGUUUUGUAAUUGAUGCUCCACGAUUUAUCCUACUUUUUUUAUUAGGCUUGUAUAUCGUCGUUAUAUGUAAAUUCUAUAAGGAUUAUAAUUUACGAGAUAUAUUUUAUAUAUUAAGUCAGAUCAAGGUGCAGUGGAUAAAGAAGAAUUAAUGGGUUACAUUAAUGGUAUUUAUAUGAAUUGUAUAUUGAAAUAUUUACUUGAAGGUGGAUUUGAUAGUAAUUGUAGUUAAAUUACUAUGAUGAUUAAGGCUCUAGAAUAUGCACAUAUCGCCCGUCGCUUUCAAUUAAGUUGAAAUAAGUCGUAACAGAGUAGAUGUACUGGAAAGUGUAUCUAGAAUGCA
rnacentral:ncRNA from 1 species